UCCACGGAUAGUAAUUGUUUUAACUGUAGGAAAAAUAAAGGUAUUUAUGGUAACUGUUUACAUAUGUAACCUUUUUUGGGUGGUUUUAUUUUGUUUUUUUAUGUGUGAAAUGAUGCAGAUAAAAACUUAAAAUUUUGGGAGUCUUCAAGUUCAGGGCAUAAUUGGGUAGAAGCAGUUGCAGCCAAACGAUAAGGGAUCUUGGCAGGAAGAAAGAGAACCACAAUAUCGGAUACGACAAAAGGUGGCCAUAAAGAGAGAGAAGGUAGAUAGAGAAACCGAUGAAGAAUGGGAACAAGAAGUCGAUGAAGGGCAGGUGGUGGGUACCUUUGACGUUGUACAGAAGUUACCCUCUAGUGUAACACAUGUUACAAACAUGUGUUACAUAUGUUCAACCCCUUUGUUAC